UACGUAGGGUGCGAGCGUUGCCCGGAAUUAUUGGGCGUAAAGAGCUCGUAGGCGGCUUGUCACGUCGGGUGUGAAAGCCCGGGGCUUAACCCCGGGUCUGCAUUCGAUACGGGCUAGCUAGAGUGUGGUAGGGGAGAUCGGAAUUCCUGGUGUAGCGGUGAAAUGCGCAGAUAUCAGGAGGAACACCGGUGGCGAAGGCGGAUCUCUGGGCCAUUACUGACGCUGAGGAGCGAAAGCGUGGGGAGCGAACAGG
rnacentral:rRNA from 1 species